AGUGAACGCUGGCGGUAGGCCUAACACAUGCAAGUCGAACGGCAGCACAGUAAGAGCUUGCUCUUACGGGUUGCGAGUGGCGGACGGGUGAGGAAUACAUCGGAAUCUACUUUUUCGUGGGGGAUAACGUAGGGAAACUUACGCCAAUACCGCAUACCACCUACGGGUGAAAGCAGGGGAUCUUCGGACCUUGCGCGAAUGAAUGCGCCGAUGUCGGAUUAGUUAGUUGGCGGGGUAAAGGCCCACCAAGGCGACGAUCCGUAGCUGGUCUGAGAGGAUGAUCAGCCACACUGGAACUGAGACACGGUCCAGACUCCUACGGGAGGCAGCAGUGGGGAAUAUUGGACAAUGGGCGCAAGCCUGAUCCAGCCAUACCGCGUGGGUGAGGAAGGCCUUCGGGUUGUAAAGCCCUUUUGUUGGGAAAGAAAAGCAGCAGGUUAAUACCCCGCUGUUCUGACGGUACCCAAAGAAUAAGCACCGGCUAACUUCGUG
rnacentral:rRNA from 1 species